UGGGGAAUAUUGCACAAUGGGCGAAAGCCUGAUGCAGCGAGCGCCGCGUGAGGGAUGACGGCCUUCGGGUUGUAAACCUCUUUCAGCAGGGAAGAAGCGAAAGUGACGGUACCUGCAGAAGAAGCGCCGGCUAACUACGUGCCAGCAGCCGCGGUAAUACGUAGGGCGCAAGCGUUGUCCGGAAUUAUUGGGCGUAAAGAGCUCGUAGGCGGUUAGUCGCGUCUGCUGUGAAAACUCGAGGCUCAACCUCGGGCUUGCAGUGGGUACGGGCUGACUAGAGUGCGGUAGGGGUGACUGGAAUUCCUGGUGUAGCGGUGGAAUGCGCAGAUAUCAGGAGGAACACCGAUGGCGAAGGCAGGUCACUGGGCCGCAACUGACGCUGAGGAGCG
rnacentral:rRNA from 1 species